AGAAUCUGUGGCUGUGUUUCCUGGGAAGCGGUUGUCACCUCCUUGUCCCCCUUCCAUUGAGUUAUCGGGGCAACAGCAAGAAGCUCUUAUGUGGUAGGUGUCCCUUAAAGGGUCUAACACAGAACAAAUGGCCAUGCUAAAUCAUACUAAAUAAUUCAGUGCAGCACUUCCAGACGUCUGCAAGAUUCUUCUUGGCACAGAUUCUUUUCUAUGCUGAGCGUGUGCCUGUGGUUAUCUCCAUGUUUUUAUAAGACUCAGCUCCACUGACAGCAGUUAACUUGGACCCAACCAGAUCAACUAAGGUCCUUCUCUAGCAUUGGAUUUGGCCCAGAGAGCCUCUUGGCAUCUCAGUGGUUGAAACUGUAUGAUAGGUAAUUUAAGAACUAUCAGUAGCCAUAUUUGCCUGCUUCUGAAGAGUGCUGGUUUACAGUGAGAAGGAAUAAGGCCUACCUAUGGAGAGAAACAGAGACAG
rnacentral:lncRNA from 1 species